CCCAGACUCCUACGGGAGGCAGCAGUGGGGAAUAUUGGGCAAUGGACGCAAGUCUGACCCAGCAACGCCGCGUGAAGGAAGAAGGCUUUCGGGUUGUAAACUUCUUUUAAGAGGGAAGAGAAGAAGACGGUACCUCUUGAAUAAGCCACGGCUAACUACGUGCCAGCAGCCGCGGUAAUACGUAGGUGGCAAGCGUUGUCCGGAUUUACUGGGUGUAAAGGGCGUGCAGCCGGGCUGACAAGUCAGAUGUGAAAUCCCGCGGCUCAACCGCGGAACUGCAUUUGAAACUGUCAGUCUUGAGUACCGGAGAGGUCAUCGGAAUUCCUUGUGUAGCGGUGGAAUGCGUAGAUAUAAGGAAGAACACCAGUGGCGAAGGCGGAUGACUGGACGGCAACUGACGGUGAGGCGCGAAAGCGUGGGGAGCAAACAGGAUUAGAUACCCUCGUAUCU
rnacentral:rRNA from 1 species